UUUCCAUUUUCAAAGACCCUUUCUUUUUCUUGAUAACUAUGAAUAUCUCCAUUAUUAGAAUUGAGUGUUUUCACUUUGAAGUGGGGGUUUUUAGGCGUUUUUUGAAGAAUUAGAGAUUUGGGAUUACUUCUACUGCUGGAGUUUCAUAACCAAAAUAGCUUAUUCUUUUGCUCAGGAAUGACAUUGAACCACAGUUUAGUUCAAAAGAUAGGCAAUGCAA